rnacentral:rRNA from 1 species
UAACGCGUGGGUAACCUGCCUCAUACAGGGGGAUAACAGUUAGAAAUGACUGCUAAUACCGCAUAAGCGCACAGUCUCGCAUGGGACAGUGUGAAAAACUCUGGUGGUAUGAGAUGGACCCGCGUCUGAUUAGCUAGUUGGUGAGGUAACGGCUCACCAAGGCGACGAUCAGUAGCCGGCCUGAGAGGGUGAACGGCCACAUUGGGACUGAGACACGGCCCAAACUCCUACGGGAGGCAGCAG